rnacentral:rRNA from 1 species
AUGAAGCUUUUUGUCAAACAAUUUGUUCAGUCAUGUGUGAUUUGUCAACAGGCCAAACCUGAGAGGGUAGCUUAUCUUGGUCUUCUAUCACCAUUACCAGUUCCAACUCAAGCUUGGGUGACAGUCACCAUGGAUUUCAUAUCAGGCUUACCUCCAUCAGAUCAGUUUGACUAUAUUAUGGUGGUCAUUGACAAAUUCACGAAGUAUGGCCACUUUAUACCAGUCAAAUACCCUUAUAAUGCACAAAAGAUUGCCGAGCUCUUCCUGGAUAAUGUGUAUAAAUUGCACAGCAUGCCUAGCUACAUUGUGUCUGAUCGAGACCCGGUUUUCACAAGUCGGUUCUGGCAAAUUCUGGUGAAGAGGACUGGAGCUACACUAAAUAUGAGUACAGCCUAUCAUCCUGAGACUGACGGCCAAACAAAACGUGUGAAUCAGCAAGUGGAAUGCUUUCUUCGCUGUUUUAUCAGUGCUCAUCCAAAAAAUGGAGUAAGUGGUUGUCUCUUUGUGAAUUCUGGUACAAUACAAAUUGGCAUUCUGCUCUAA